rnacentral:rRNA from 1 species
GUAGGGAAUCUUCCACAAUGGACGAAAGUCUGAUGGAGCAACGCCGCGUGAGUGAAGAAGGUUCUCGGAUCGUAAAACUCUGUUGUGAGGGAAGAACAAGUAUCGGAGUAACUGCCGGUACCUUGACGGUACCUCAUUAGAAAGCCACGGCUAACUACGUGCCAGCAGCCGCGGUAAUACGUAGGUGGCAAGCGUUGUCCGGAAUCAUUGGGCGUAAAGCGCGCGCAGGCGGUCCCUUAAGUCUGAUGUGAAAGCCCACGGCUCAACCGUGGAGGGUCAUUGGAAACUGGGGGACUUGAGUGCAGAAGAGGAAAGCGGAAUUCCAAGUGUAGCGGUGAAAUGCGUAGAGAUUUGGAGGAACACCAGUGGCGAAGGCGGCUUUCUGGUCUGUAACUGACGCUGAGGCGCGAAAGCGUGGGGAGCAAACAGGAUUAGAUACCCCAGUAGUCC